rnacentral:tRNA from 1 species
GGGAAUGUGGCUUAGUGGUAGAGUGCUUGUCUUGCAUGCAUGAGGCCCUGGGUUCGAUUCCUCAGCACCA